rnacentral:rRNA from 1 species
AAUGAACGCUGGCGGCAGGCCUAACACAUGCAAGUCGAGCGGAUCCUUCGGGAUUAGUGGCGGACGGGUGAGUAACGCGUGGGAACAUACCCAAAGGUACGGAAUAGCCUCGGGAAACUGGGAGUAAUACCGUAUGUGCUCGAAAGAGGUAAGAUUUAUCGCCUUUGGAUUGGCCCGCGUUGGAUUAGGUAGUUGGUGGGGUAAUGGCCUACCAAGCCGACGAUCCAUAGCUGGUUUGAGAGGAUGAUCAGCCACACUGGGACUGAGACACGGCCCAGACUCCUACGGGAGGCAGCAGUGGGGAAUCUUAGACAAUGGGGGAAACCCUGAUCUAGCCAUGCCGCGUGAUCGAUGAAGGCCUUAGGGUUGUAAAGAUCUUUCAGGUGGGAAGAUAAUGACUGUACCACCAGAAGAAGCCCCGGCUAACUCCGUGCCAGCCGCCGCAGUAA